AUUGAACGCUGGCGGCAUGCCUUACACAUGCAAGUCGAGCGCGAAAGGGGGCAACCCCGAGUAGAGCGGCGGACGGGUGAGUAACGCAUCGGAACGUGCCCAGUAGUGGGGGACAACCUCGAGAAAUCGAGGCUAAUACCGCAUACGACCCACGGGUGAAAGCGGGGGACCGCAAGGCCUCGCGCUAUUGGAGCGGCCGAUGUCCGAUUAGCUAGUUGGCGGGGUAAGAGCCCACCAAGGCGACGAUCGGUAGCUGGUCUGAGAGGACGACCAGCCACACUGGGACUGAGACACGGCCCAGACUCCUACGGGAGGCAGCA
rnacentral:rRNA from 1 species